AUGAACGCUGGCGGCGUGCCUAAUACAUGCAAGUCGAGCGAACGGACGGGAAGCUUGCUUCUCUGAUGUUAUCGGCGGACGGGUGAGUAACACGUGGAUAACCUACCUAUAAGACUGGGAUAACUUCGGGAAACCGGAGCUAAUACCGGAUAAUAUUUUGAACCGCAUGGUUCAAAAGUGAAAGACGGUCUUGCUGUCACUUAUAGAUGGAUCCGCGCUGCAUUAGCUAGUUGGUAAGGUAACGGCUUACCAAGGCAACGAUGCAUAGCCGACCUGAGAGGGUGAUCGGCCACACUGGAACUGAGACACGGUCCAGACUCCUACGGGAGGCAGCAGUAGGGAAUCUUCCGCAAUGGGCGAAAGCCUGACGGAGCAACGCCGCGUGAGUGAUGAAGGUCUUCGGAUCGUAAAACUCUGUUAUUAGGGAAGAACAUAUGUGUAAGUAACUGUGCACAUCUUGACGGUACCUAAUCAGAAAGCCACGGCUAACUACGUG
rnacentral:rRNA from 1 species